rnacentral:rRNA from 1 species
UACAGAGGUCCCGAGCGUUGUUCGGAUUCAUUGGGCGUAAAGGGUGCGUAGGCGGCGGGGCAAGUCUGAUGUGAAAUCCCGGGGCUCAACCCCGGAACUGCAUUGGAUACUGCCUUGCUAGAGUACUGGAGAGGGAACUGGAAUUUACGGUGUAGCAGUGAAUGCGUAGAUAUCAGGAGGAACACCGGUGGCGAAGGCGGAUCUCUGGGCCAUUACUGACGCUGAGGAGCGAAAGCGUGGGGAGCGAACAGG